rnacentral:lncRNA from 8 species
CUUAGGAUGAUAUACUAUAUACAGUUAUUGCCAAAUAUAUGCUCACCCUUACAAUUUUCUUAAAUAAUUAUUCAUUUCUUCUAAAAGAUAAAAAAAUGUUUGGGGGGAACAAAAUGGCGCCGUAGAGAGAACACGGUGUUUCAGCGAGCUCACGCGGUAUUCGUAAAUUUAUAUUCUUACAUUAAUCUCCUAGCUUGAAAAAGUGGUAGAAUUGGCUAAAUAAGUUACCCUACAAUGAGUCUUGGCGACUAUUUCUCAAAAAUCUCCGACAACAUGCCCAACAGAGCUACUAAGAAGUCGACCAAAACCGCCAUCCCUGUAGAUGUGCAGGAGGAGCUAGCUAACGUUAGCGAAUCUAACAACAUUGCGGAUCCAGGCACAAUGGACCUGGUGAUUCAAAGGAUGACAGAUAACAUUACUAAAGUGAUCGAUGUUAAGAUAAGAACGGUCCUGGAAGCAAUAGCAGGCCAUUCAGCUGAACUACAGAGGGUUGUCAAACGUGUUGAUGAGGCGGAAGGAAGAAUUGCUACUGUGGAAACUUCAACUACAUCCAUGGACACUAAGAUAAAAGCACUUGAGAAGCAGGUGCGCGAAAUGGCGGAGCACAUUGACGACUUGGAUAAUCGAGGAUGCAGAUGCAAUAUCCGUGUUGUGGGACUCCCGGAAAAUUCUGAAGGGACACGUUCAGUAAAAUGUUUUGAGGAAUGGAUCCCUGGCUACCUACAAAUGGACACUAAGGCUGGUCGUGUGAAGCUAGACAGAGCACAUUGCUCUCAAGCACCGAUACCCGGUCCCAAUCAGCGCCCACGACCAGUGGUUAUAAAGUUCCACAACUUUACCGACAAGCAGCGCGUCAUGGAUGCGGCUAGAAACAUCGGUUCUGACGGUAGUCAACGUAAAGGUCCAAAGGUCUCAUUCUUCAAUGAUUAUUCCACAGCGGUUGUACGAAGGCGCAAAGCGUUUGAUGAGGUGAAGGCUCGACUCAAGAGAAUGAAGAUCGACUACGCACUGCUGUACCCGGCCACAUUGAAGAUUAUGGUCAACGGAUCGCCUAAAAACUCUACACAUCUGAAGAGGCUGCUGCGUUUAUUGACUCUCUCGGGUAAAUAACCUUAAGCUGCACCUCCGCAGCAUUGGAUAACGUCUUAUUUUAUUUUGAAUCUGAUCAUGAAACAGUGGUGUAAGUUCUCAUGUGCUCCUGUUCAGUAAUAUUCGUAUCGGUAUUAUUUUUCUUGCUAAAGUAACUGCCGCCGUAGCUCAGACUGAGAUAUGUGUGAACCUAUAUUGGUGCCCAGGCUUGGUUUUAGGUGGAAGAGCCUNNNN